rnacentral:rRNA from 1 species
GAUGAACGCUAGCGGCAGGCUUAACACAUGCAAGUCGAGGGGUAGAACACUUCGGUGUUUGAGACCGGCGCACGGGUGCGUAACGCGUAUGCAAUCUGCCUUGUACAAAGGGAUAGCCCAGAGAAAUUUGGAUUAAUACCUUAUAGUAUAUAGAUGUGGCAUCACAAUUAUAUUAAAGAUUUAUCGGUACAAGAUGAGCAUGCGUCCCAUUAGCUAGUUGGUAUGGUAACGGCAUACCAAGGCAAUGAUGGGUAGGGGUCCUGAGAGGGAGAUCCCCCACACUGGUACUGAGACACGGACCAGACUCCUACGGGAGGCAGCAGUGAGGAAUAUUGGUCAAUGGGCGCAAGCCUGAACCAGCCAUGCCGCGUGCAGGAUGAAGCAUCUAUGGUGUGUAAACUGCUUUUGUACGGGAAGAAACAACUCUUCGUGAAGAGUCUUGACGGUGCCGUAAGAAUAAGGAUCGGCUAACUCCGUGCCAGCAGCCGCCGCUG